CGCUCAUUUACAGGCAUGAACCAUUCAUCCAGGUUGAGGCUUGCUAUCAGCAGGAACAUUGAGCACUCCGUGCCAGUGCUACAGAGACAGACUGGUCCAAGGACCUCCGGAGCCUUCUGACCAACUACCUGCGAUCUCUCCAGAGCACAGAGAAGUGAGUCUUCUGGGCUAUGGAACUCUAGAGCAGCAAAUCAACAAACCUGCCACCCUGUUGUCAGCUAUCCGCAGACUUUCAACGGCCACAUUUUGGGGAUGACCAAAUGCAAUAGUUUUGU